ACAGUGUUGCCACAGGGACACCGGCUGAUUGUUCUCCAGCGCUUACUCUUUCAGAUCCACUUUGUUUCCUAGCCAGUGGAUGGUGGGCAGAAAUGAGCAGCUGGUCUUCAUGGAUGCCUCCAGGUGGACAAGACCUUGCCAGGCAGAUGAGCAGAAGGCGGGCACUACAGCCUGAGUGGACAGCGUGAGUCCCGGUGUGGAGCAGUGAGAAGCCCCCACGAGUGUGCUCUGGGAACUAAAAUUGGCCAGGGUUAUAAGGGAGAUGCAAACCAAGAGUCAACUGAGAACUUAAGAAGUUGUGUAAGGAGCUGUGUGGAAUCAGAAUGACUGCAUUGUCCAGCGACCAACCCAGCUGACUCCCUGACUGAAUUUACUGUUAACCAGUACCCCCAGAGCUAACUAUAUAGCUUACACAUCCCAAUUAGACAGCGUGAAGUCUGCCAAAUUGAAUUUCAGUUCUCUGUCACAAUUUUUCACUCAUCAAAUGGAGAGAAACCUCACAAGGAUAUAAAGUACUUUGAAAUGCAAUGCUGCUUUCUUAGAACCAGGGGUGAGUAGUUUCAUCAUGCCGCACAUUGGACACGUAAUAAAUGUUUGUUGUUGAAAC